GACGAACGCUGGCGGCGUGCUUAACACAUGCAAGUCGAACGCUGAAGACCUGGCUUUUGUUGGGUUGGAUGAGUGGCGAACGGGUGAGUAACACGUGAGUAACCUGCCCUCUUCUUUGGGAUAACGCCCGGAAACGGGUGCUAAUACUGGAUAUUCACUGGCCUUCGCAUGGGGGUUGGUGGAAAGGUUUGUUCUGGUGGGGGAUGGGCUCGCGGCCUAUCAGCUUGUUGGUGGGGUGAUGGCCUACCAAGGCUUUGACGGGUAGCCGGCCUGAGAGGGUGACCGGUCACAUUGGGACUGAGAUACGGCCCAGACUCCUACGGGAGGCAGCAGUGGGGAAUAUUGCACAAUGGGCGAAAGCCUGAUGCAGCGACGCCGCGUGAGGGAUGGAGGCCUUCGGGUUGUAAACCUCUUUCGCUCAUGGUCAAGCCGCAACUGUGGGUUGUGGUGAGGGUAGUGGGUAAAGAAGCGCCGG
rnacentral:rRNA from 1 species